AGCGAACGCUGGCGGCAGGCUUAACACAUGCAAGUCGAACGGGCACUUCGGUGCUAGUGGCAGACGGGUGAGUAACACGUGGGAACGUACCUUUCGGUUCGGAAUAAUUCAGGGAAACUUGGACUAAUACCGGAUACGCCCUUCGGGGGAAAGAUUCAUCGCCGAAAGAUCGGCCCGCGUCUGAUUAGCUAGUUGGUGAGGUAAAGGCUCACCAAGGCGACGAUCAGUAGCUGGUCUGAGAGGAUGAUCAGCCACAUUGGGACUGAGACACGGCCCAAACUCCUACGGGAGGCAGCAGUGGGGAAUAUUGGACAAUGGGCGCAAGCCUGAUCCAGCCAUGCCGCGUGAGUGAUGAAGGCCUUAGGGUUGUAAAGCUCUUUCGUCAGGGAAGAUAAUGACGGUACCUGAAGAAGAAGCCCCGGCUAAACUUCGUG
rnacentral:rRNA from 1 species